CGUGCUGUGUGAUCUUGGGCGAUCACUGCCUCUCUGGGCCUGUGUCUUAGGCUCUGCAAGAUCAACCGAGCAAAGCACACGGCCUGCAGAGAGCCAGCGCUGCGCUCCUAGCGGCCCGCGGGGC
rnacentral:pre_miRNA from 15 species